rnacentral:rRNA from 1 species
UCAUGGCGUCAGGAUGAACGCUGGCGGCGUGCCUAACACAUGCAAGUCGAGCGGAGAUAUUGAGAUGAUCUUCGAGUGAUUUCCUUAUCUUAGCGGCGGAUGGGUGAGUAACACGUGGGUAACCGUGCCCUGCACAGGGGGAUAACAGCUGGAAACGGCUGUUAAUACCGCAUAUGCACACGCUGCCGCAUGGCAGGCGGUGGAAAGAUUUAUCGGUGCAGGAUGGGCCCGCGUCGGAUUAACUAGUUGGCAGGGUAACGGCCUACCAAGGUUAUGAUCCGUAGCCGACCUGAGAGGGUGACCGGCCACAUUGGGACUGAGACACGGCCCAAACUCCUACGGGAGGCAGCAGUGGGGGAUAUUGCACAAUGGGCGGAAGCCUGAUGCAGCGACGCCGCGUGAAGGAAGAAGUAUUUCGGUAUGUAAACUUCUAUCAGCGGGGAAGAAGAUGACGGUACCCGACUAAGAAGCCCCGGCUAACUACGUGCCAGCCGCAGC